rnacentral:rRNA from 1 species
AAGAGCUCAGAUUUGAAAUCGUGCUUUGCGGCACGAGUUGUAGAUUGCAGGUUGGAGUCUGUGUGGAAGGCGGUGUCCAAGUCCCUUGGAACAGGGCGCCCAGGAGGGUGAGAGCCCCGUGGGAUGCCGGCGGAAGCAGUGAGGCCCUUCUGACGAGUCGAGUUGUUUGGGAAUGCAGCUCCAAGCGGGUGGUAAAUUCCAUCUAAGGCUAAAUACUGGCGAGAGACCGAUAGCGAACAAGUACUGUGAAGGAAAGAUGAAAAGCACUUUGAAAAGAGAGUGAAACAGCACGUGAAAUUGUUGAAAGGGAAGGGUAUUGCGCCCGACAUGGGGAUUGCGCACCGCUGCCUCUCGUGGGCGGCGCUCUGGGCUUUCCCUGGGCCAGCAUCGGUUCUUGCUGCAGGAGAAGGGGUUCUGGAACGUGGCUCUUCGGAGUGUUAUAGCCAGGGCCAGAUGCUGCGUGCGGGGACCGAGGACUGCGGCCGUGUAGGUCACGGAUGCUG